AUGAACGCUGGCGGCGUGCUUAACACAUGCAAGUCGAACGAGAAGUGAAGACGGAACCCUUCGGGCGGAAGGCUUUAUUUCGAGUGGCGGACGGGUGAGUAACGCGUGGGUAACCUGCCUCAUACAGGGGGAUAACAGUUGGAAACGACUGUUAAUACCGCAUAAGACCACAGCACCGCAUGGUGCGGGGGUAAAAACUCCGGUGGUAUGAGAUGGACCCGCGUUCGAUUAGCCAGUUGGCGGGGUAACGGCCCACCAAAGCGACGAUCGAUAGCCGAUCUGAGAGGAUGACCGGCCACAUUGGGACUGAGACACGGCCCAAACUCCUACGGGAGGCAGCAGUGGGGAAUAUUGCACAAUGGGGGAAACCCUGAUGCAGCGACGCCGCGUGAGUGAAGAAGUAUUUCGGUAUGUAAAGCUCUAUCAGCAGGGAAGAAAAUGACGGUACCUGAGUAAGAAGCCCCGGCUAACUACGUG
rnacentral:rRNA from 1 species